UACUUUCAAUUGUUUGAUGAG
rnacentral:miRNA from 1 species